rnacentral:tRNA from 1 species
GUCCAGGGAUGGGAAUCGACCCCACAAUGUUCCGCUUACCGGGCAGAUGCCAUGUCCACUAGGCUACCCUGGA